rnacentral:rRNA from 1 species
UACGUAGGGUGCAAGCGUUAAUCGGAAUACUGGGCGUAAAGCGUGCGCAGGCGGUGAUGUAAGACAGGUGUGAAAUCCCCGGGCUUAACCUGGGAACUGCAUUUGUGACUGCAUCGCUGGAGUGCGGCAGAGGGGGAUGGAAUUCCGCGUGUAGCAGUGAAAUGCGUAGAUAUCGAGAGGAACACCAGUGGCGAAGGCGAGUCCCUGGACAACACCUGACACUGAGGCACGAAAGCCGGGGGAGCAAACAGG